rnacentral:rRNA from 1 species
GACGAACGCUGGCGGCGUGCUUAACACAUGCAAGUCGAACGGAAAGGCCCUGCUUGCCGGGUACUCGAGUGGCGAACGGGUGAGUAACACGUGGGUGAUCUGCCCUGCACUUCGGGAUAAGCCUGGGAAACUGGGUCUAAUACCGGAUAGGAGCCAUUUUUAGUGUGAUGGUUGGAAAGUUUUUUCGGUGUAGGAUGAGCUCGCGGCCUAUCAGCUUGUUGGUGGGGUAAUGGCCUACCAAGGCGGCGACGGGUGGCCGGCCUGAGAGGGUGGACGGCCACAUUGGGACUGAGAUACGGCCCAGACUCCUACGGGAGGCAGCAGUGGGGAAUAUUGCACAAUGGGCGCAAGCCUGAUGCAGCGACGCCGCGUGGGGGAUGACGGCCUUCGGGUUGUAAACUCCUUUCGCUAGGGACGAAGCUUUUUGUGACGGUACCUAGAGAAGAAGCACCGGCUAACUACGUG